GUCAUGGUUGGUCGAAAACGGAUCGGAAUUCCAAGGGAGAUAACUUAUGAUCCAUUCGGAACACGAUUUUUUUUAUGACAACAUUCCAAAUAUGUUCCUGUUUACAUGAAAUGAAGAUAUAAUUGUUGAAGAUGGUUUUUGAAGAGUCUGAAAUAUUUCAGACAAGAAAGAACAUUAAGCCUGAACCUGUAGAACAUUCAGACUUUUUUUCUGGUAUGACUUGUUUCUUCAGAAUGACAACAACUGUUUACAGUUUAGUGAACCUUCACCUGUUUACCUUUGACUGUCAAAGAUGUUUUCUUGACAUUAACUUCAUAUCUAAUUUUAGCAAACAAUACAAUUGAAUAAGACAAAUUAAGUAGAGAAAUCAUUAAAUGACAUGAUCAAAUAAUACAACAACCCCACAGAAGAAGGCACACACAAAAUCAUGACCCUAGCAAAAGGAAGAAAACAAACAGGAAACACCAAAUCAUUACUCUACAGAAAACUCAAGUUUGAGCAACACCUCAAAAUUGAGCAGCCCCUCCAACCUUUUCCCUCACACCUAAUUCUCCUACUAGAGGGGAACUUAACAUUUGUUUAAUGAUGUGCAAUUGUUGUCUGUGAAAGAACCAAUCUGAGGCUGAAGUCCUUUAGAUCGUAGUCUAAGUAGCACUUUUGAUAAGCAGAUAAAUGCAAAGUGUAAACAUAGUAAAGCAAAAUAUUGCUACUGACUGUGUAACAUCCUCAUAUUUCAUGUUUUUGGUCUGACAGACAAUAUUUCAUCGGGAACAUUCUUAUAUAUUAUCAUGAUUAUAUGCUACAAGUUUUGAUAAUUUAAGUUAUAAGGUCCAACAUUCAUUGACAUUUAAGGAAUGACUGUAAUAUUUUUUCUGUCUAUUCGAAAUAACAUAAAAAAUGUUGUGCACACUAUAAUCAUGUUAAUAUAACAGUACAGUCAUUUCUUAUAAUUCUAAAUUUCAUUUUUAACCGGAGAAAACCAUGAUAAAAUGUUGAUGACAUCAUGGUCUGAUCGACACAUGACGAAAUUAUGUCUAUGAGCCGAUAAACAAAACAACGUCAGCCAAUCAGAAGAUGCUUUACAGUCAAAAUUAAAUUAUUGUAAUAUAUAUCCUAUAUAGCCCAUUUUCCAGAUUAAUUUUAAAGUAAGAUCAAACAAUUUAAUGUUGCUUUUACAAUAUUAUGACAAGAAUGAAAAUAAGCGUUUUUUAUUUGAAUAUUUAUAAAUAUUUAUGUAAAAUGUACAUGUACAUGUACAUGUACAUUUACAAAAUGUAUCAGCUUUUUCUACAUGUUUUAUGGUGUUUUAAUUAGCACAAAUAAUAACUUGCCAUCAAAUUAGGCUAAAACAUGAAAAUAUUAAAAGAUUAAGUUUUUGGAAUAAACACACAGUGCAUCUGUCACCUAACAAUUUUUUUUUUACAAAUGAACUUUCUGAUUUAAUUUGACAAAUCCUGACUGUACAUGUGGUUUAAAUUUUUCACAAAAUUUGCACUGUAUCAUGCUUACUGCAUCUUUGCUAGCCAAUGGUUAUGAUCCACUUCCCUCCUCUCCACCCUGGCAGAUUUAAAACCAACAUUUGUGAUAACAAUGUUGUGCCAUCUAUCGAUAGAUAAAAGUCACGCCCAUUCUGAAUACAUUAUUCUUGACCAACACAUAACCAAUGGUAGCACUAAACUCUUCAAUUGGGAGGUAAAACAAGGUAGCAUCUAGAUUCUAAUCUACACACUUGCAUGACUUAGUAAAGCAGGAAACGAAAAUAUACGUGACAUUCAUGCAUUUGUGUAAGAAACAUACAAAGGAACUUCUAUUAGUCAAUUAAAAUCAUUCAAAUUGGCACUAUAUAUAGCCGUAUGUUUAGGGAUAUAAAGACUUGUUGCACAAUAAGCAUGUGGCAAUUGUUUACAUACACUUUCUACAUAAAUCUACAUGUGGUCAUGUUAUAGGCGCUUGAUUAGAUGCAGCGAGUUUCGACUGCAACCAAUGAAAAUCAUAAACUUGUGUCUCCGAAAUACUAUCUUAAUCUGCCAAGGGUGUAGAGGAGGGAAGUGGAUCAUAACCCUUGGCUAGCGAAGAUGUGCUGUACUGUGGUGUAUUCUAUUAAUGAAAAAUAAUGUGACAGUAUGAGGUUCACUUUACUAAAAACUUUGACUCAUGAUUUCAAUUAUAAUUCUCCUACACAAUUCUGUGCAGUGGCAUUGAUGUAUGUUCGAUCUCACAUUUUUACGAGUUAUGAAUAAUAAAUGCACACAUAAAUUGGAGAAUUAACAGUCUCUAUUUGUUUUCAGGGAUGACUAAGUUACAAAUUACUGAAAACAAUGGAAAGACUGGAGAGAAAAGUACAGAAGAUCUUUGUGACCUCUUGUUGAGUCUAAAAAUAGAUAAACUUAAAUCAAAAGGACCGGUAAGCUUAAUUAUAAUUAGACUUCAGUAUAUAUAUUUAAACAUGAUUGUUAUGAUACAAAUGCAGUAUCAAAGGCAUACAUUGUAUCAGUUGCUUAUAACAGUACAUAAAAUUUACUGUAUUUUCCACUUAACUUUAUUCAUUUAUCAUACAUGUCAUAUACAUCCAAAUUGUUUCAGUAUUAUUUUUAUAUAGACAGAUUUGCAUAUAUGAUUUAAACUAAAUGGACAAACAUGACACAAGACAAUUUUUUUUUAGAAAAAACUUUUUUUUGAUAAAUUGUUAUUACAAUAUACUUUAUGUUAUGCAUGUAAUAAUUCUACAGUAAACAGUCAAGCAAAUUGUUAGACUUUGUUAAAAUUAGAGUAUAUUUUUUUUGAAGAAUAUCUGGUAAACAACUGUAUCUGUUGACAUUUUUAAUAUUUCAGAAUGGACUUAUUCAGAGAGGAAAGCCCCAGGCUAGACAACCAGUAAAUUCAAACUAUAUUCAGAAGAGCUCAUUUCCAGAUUGGCAAUUCCCAGAUUUAAAAGUUUCUGAACUUUAUGGUAGUGUUGUGAAAGUUGAUUCCCCUGAUGGCUUUCCAUAUUUCCCAAAUGAUAACCACAUAGGCCAUCAGAACAUACCAAAGUUCCCACCACAAAAUAAUCUUGUUCAGGGUGUAGACUUUAGUUGUCAGGUGUGGCAACGACAGAACUACCCAUAUUGGCAGUAUAACAGACGUUCAAGACCAUUACCAGGUCGAUCAGACCCAAAUGUUAGCGAUGGGCCAGUUAAUUUGCCGAGUAGGAACAAUAGCAGGCUACCAGAUAUAUUAGAUGGACCAGGAUCCAGGAGUAAAUCAUCCAGCAGCAGUAAGAUUUUAGUCAAAUUUGUUUUUUUUUUCUACAAAAUAAAAUGUUUAAUUUAAUUGAAGUGAACAAACAUGACAAAAGAUAGACAUUCAAGAAAUUAUUUCUUAUUUCCAGUAAUAAAUAUUUUAUUUUAUUUAUGUGGUACAAUGUACACAUCAAUCAGAAAGUAACAGGAAAACACAAUACCGUGGUAAGGGGUGUAUAUCAAGCAUGUGAAGAGAGGUAAGACCAGUUCAAAACUUCACACUACAUGAUUGUGGUUUGUUUAUUUAACAAAGGCAUUUACCAUUGACAUAUUGUGGUCACAGUAGCUAGCUCAUGUCAGAAUUAAUACAGAAUGGUUUGAUUAGAACAUGAACAUUAGUAUUUUGAAAAGUGUAUCUUUCAACAUAGAAGUGACAUCUGUUAUUUGAAAAUUUGUUUUCACACUUUUAUGUUUGAGCAAUUCAGUUGAUUUGCACUUGUAUUCAUUAUUUUUGUUCCUAUAAAGAGCCAAAUAACAAAAAAACCCUUCACUUGUCAUGCCAGCUACAUGUAUAUAGUUAUUCAGAGGAAAUAAAUCAUAGUUCAGACAAAAAUUAAUCUUAAAAUAGAAAGAAAUGUCUAGAUGUUUUACAAUUCAGUAAACCCAUUUUGUAUCUUCCAACAAAAUCAAAACAAACAAAAUUGCACAGAAAAAACAAAAAAAAAACAUCACAAUGACAGUGUUUUGAUAUUUAUUGAGAAUAAAUUAUUCUUUAAUAGGUUUAUUACAAAAAGCCAUUGUUUUAUUCCUUCCAUUUUCUUAGAAUCUUGCGGCUUUCCUGAUAAUAUUUAUAACACUUGAAAAAAGGACAUGUUAAUCAUUUUAGAUGAUAUAGAAACAGAUGAAGUACCCUAUGGGCCGACAUAUGAUUUAGAUGACCCAUUUCUCCGAUCAUUAACAGAUCAGCAGUUUCCAUUGUUUGAAGAAAUCACUAAUUUACACAGAGGAUCAAAAGACUUUGAAUAUAUCAAUGAGAAUAGUAAUUCUAGCAGCAGUGAUGCGUUUAGCCAAAAUUCACCGUUUAGUCAAAGUUCCCCACUGAAUAAUCACGUUGAUAGUGAUCUCAAUGAUAUCAAUAAUAUCAUCAAUGAAUACUCUUAUACCACAAGUCCAAGCAGUAAAGUUGUCACAACCUUGGAAAAGUGUCGCUUGUCACCUGAUACUGUUGAAGUCAUUGACCCCAGUCGUAAACGGAGAGGUCAGGAUGGACAACCAUCUCCACCAAAACAACCUCAUCUUGACUUUCCUGAUGCUGAUGAAGAUGGUGACAGGUAACUAUGGCAACAAUAGGUCUUUGUUAAGGCCCAACAGUUGACCAAAAGUAUGAGUUCUGGCACUUGACUUGUGACUCACCUUAAAAACUCGAUACUAUGGAACUUAUUCUGUGAUGCUAAAAAACAUUUAAUUUUCUGAGAAAGUGAACAAACUUGAAACUAAGAAUGUUGAAUACAGUUUUAGCUAUUAGGUUGUUUGUUGCAUAUGAAUAUCAGAAUAUUGGGAUAUACUUAGUUAAAUACUUUAAAAAUCAGUGUAUAACUUCCGUUACGUUUCUCACUACUUGAUAAGAGAAACAAUUUCCUUGUAUUUAUUUAUAUGUAUAGAGGAAUUUUUUCCUUAUUUUUGAAAUCCAACCUUUACAUGUAUGGUGUGGUUGCCUAUAAAUUAAAAACAGUCAAUUAUUUAAAGUCAUAAACAACAUAUGUAUAUAGAUAGAUAAGGAGAUGUGAUACGAUUGCCAAUGAGACAACUAUACACCAAAGUUCAAAUGGAGUGAAUGUAAACAAUUAAACGCAUCAGAUCAACUUUCAACAAUGAGAAAAAAAAAACAUACAGUAUAGUCAGUUAUAAAAGGCCUCAACCUGAACAAUAUAAAACAAUUCAAUUGAGAAAAGUAAAGGCCUAAUUUAUAACAAAACAGUUGAUGAAAAGCAAAUAUGACAGACAUGAACUAACUACAACCACUGAGGCACAUAUAGAAAGUAGUGGGGUUAAAAGUGUUGCAUACUCACCCUUUACCUUUGGACAUUUGUUUAACAGUACAACAUAUAUAAAAUUUAGUUGAAAAUGGCUUAGAUGUUCUUCAAUGAUUUUCCAUCAAUAAAAUGAGGAUCUUAAUUAUGGAGACACAAUGUUUUUGCUGUUAUGUAAUAGAGAGUUACUUCAUGAUAAAACCUUUAUGGUUUACUUUGAAUGACAUUGAUUUGGGUUAUGAAUGUAUGUAUAUUGCAUUCUAUUUCUGAUGAUGACUCUCAUUUAUUAUUUCAGUGUCCUACAUUCAUUGGUGAUUGCUGAUGACUUUACAGAUGAUGAUAUGGAGAAGAUUUUGUAUUAUUUGGAACUGGACUCAGCUGAUCAGUUAUCAGAUAUAAUUGACAAACAGAAUAACAUGUGGAGGGUAGGUGAAAACUUUUCAUCUAUGUUUAGUAUUAAUAUACUUGUGUGAAAGCACCAAGAAGAAUCACUUUAAAUAAUAAAAAAAUGUACUAUGAAGGAUUUUACACUCUUGUCUCGAAGUGAAUUAUAGCUUCUUUUCUGCUAGAUCUCAGGAAUGAAUGGAAUUCCCCAAAUUAUCCACUGCAUUCUCUUUAUUUGUAAGAAGUGAGACUUUUGAUAAAAAAUAAAUUUUACUAUUGUAAAUUCAGGAAUUAUUGCGUGCAUUUAUUAUUGCAAUUUUGUCAUUUAAGACUAAAAUAUGAUUUAAAUUUUUACGAUUUUGAGAAAAAUCCUGUUUACUUCAUAUAAAAUGUUUCAAAAUGUGAGUUUAAAUUAUUGCGUUUACAACUCUGUUGCAUUUUUCGAAAUAAUAAAAACAUCGCAAUAAUUUCUGAAUUUACAGUAUUUUACAAUUUAUUUUGAGUAUGUUAGUUGAGCUUGUAAUCAUGAUAAAUAUAUAUACAGUCAUUCAAAGGAAUAAGAGCAGAAAAAUAUCAUAUAUAUUACUGAUUCACACUUUUUUCAAUAUCAUUUAUAAAAUCCUUUGACAUUACAGAAGUUCUAGCAUUCCCACAAUUCACAUUAAAGUUUGUCAAAGACCCUAGCAAAGAUCCUGUCAUUUGUAUAAAUAUUUUGUAAACUUUUCUUAUUUGAUUAUAGACUGCAUUGUUCUUGGCUGUGUUAUCAGAGAAGACAGAAUUUGUUCAGUGUUUAUUAGAUCAUGGAGCAGAUCCAAACAUACAGGGAAAGGUAAUUCUAAAGUUUACAAAUUUCAAAUGAAUUUAUACUACAAAUAGAAAAAAAUCUAUUACCUCCCUUAAAUUGUCAGGCAUUUAUCUUUAAAGAUGCAGAAAUGCAUAUUCAGAAAUAUAAUGUAUAUGUCUCCUGGAAAUGUUUAAAAACUUUUAUAUGUACGAAAAGUAUUAAUGUUAAGAGUUUGAGGUGUAAUACCACCAUUGAUUUUCCCCUAUUAGUCUUUGUUAAAUUGGCACUUUUAAAAAAAAUGUACAGUAUUUACCUUUAUUUCAACCAAAGAAAUACUUUGCAUGAAUAAAGUUUAAUCCUUUCCAGUGCUACAGUGAAAAUUUCACACUACAUUUCAUUGCAUAUAAGAAAGUAACCAGCACCGGAAGUAAACAACCCAAUUUUUACACUAUUAUUUACUGUUACCUGCUUUGGUAACUAUGUAACCUUAACUUUCCAAAAUAUUUUAUAAGACCAUCAAAUAAACAAAGAAUGAUGCUUUCAGACACCCAACAUACAUGUUUAUGACUCAGAAAAAAUUAAGUGCAUUGAAAUGCAGGGUUAAUUUUCUACAACUGUCAAAUUCAAGGGAAUAUUUUUUUAGACCUACUUUCGUAUGCAACCGGAUGUGCCGUAUCAUGAUUUGGUGGUAUUACACCUUGAAUCAAUUUUAGCACUUUGUAAUUUAAAAAAAACAACAUAAAUUUACAUGUCAGAGGCAAAUCUGCACAACAAAGUCAUUUUGAUAUCGUAGUUUGCUGUUAUUACAGAAGACGUUCACUUUUGAUGCACAGUUUGUACACUGUGGAUUCAUAAUUAUUCUAUUUUAGUGGACUUUGUGGGCUUAAUUAGUAACACAAACUUAUGGUAAAUGUUUAACAAAGUAAAAAUGAUCUAUAUGAAAACUUUGGCAAAACCAAAAAAGUACAAGUUUUCCUCAAACCAGAAAAAUUGGCACCCACAAAAAUCAAUGAAUCAACAUAACAUUAUCAUGAAAAACUCAAAACAAUAUUGUACAUGUAUUCCUAGUUUUAUAUACUUCACCCUAUCACAUUGAGAACAUAUUACAGGGAAAGUUUUUACAGUAAAUGCUGAAAAACUUAAGCAAAUCUGAAAAUUCUCUUAAAUUUUGUAUUGACAUUAUGUCUUUAUUUACAGAUACAGUAUUCAGCUGACACAUAUGACCUAAGGACACCCUUAAUGUUGUCUGUAGAGAGGGGAGAUAACUCCUUAGAGAUAACUAAGAUGUUACUGGAAUCACCUGACAUGAAUAUUAACUGUAGGAGUGAAAGUGACAGUAAGCAUGAAUACAAAUUGAUGACAAAAUGAUGUUUAUUUACACUUUUUGAGAAUGCUAAAGAGGACAGCACUACAAACAAAACCUUUUUCAAACCUAUUCCAAAUCAAAUGUAUUGAGAAUUACAUGAAAUUAUUUACAUAGAUAAAGUCUUAUUGGUAUGAACUGUUUUUCAUUGAUAGAUUUUGUACAUUUUGUAUUAUUAACAAGAGAUCAAGAUACUGCUCAAUAAUCAGGGUUGUCUCAUUUUAAGCAAAGAGGAGUAAUGCAUGGUGAAAUUCACAAAAUAACAUAUUUAAAAUAACAGUUUUAGUGUGCAUUGAAAGCACAUUCUAUUUCACUCCUGAAGAUCAUCUUAGUUUAGUUUUUUUUGUAAGUCCCUCCACCUGUGAUUAUUAUACUAUAUUAGUAUAAUAGUCCCAGGCUCUGCACAUCCAAUGCCAAUAAAUCUGUCAUUGCAACAAAUGAGUAGUAUUUUUGUUUUAUCAUUUAAUUUGUAUCGCCUUUAUACAUCAGACAUAUUAUCUAAAAGGUUUUAAAGAACUUUAAAGUCAUAUAAAUGCUUUUACAUUUCAGGAUUAACAGCACUUCACAUAGCUCUUAAAUCACACAGAUUACCUAGUAGUAACCGUGGUGGACUGGAUUGUACAAAGACGGUGAAGCUGUUGAUAAUGAAUGAGGCUGACACAGAUUUAGGGGUACUUGUAUAAACAUCAUAUUAAAUGAUACCUGAUAUUUUAAGUGAUAUUCAUGUUGUCACAAUAGUAAAAUUACAUGAUUUGCAUUUAAUUUUGAUGAAAAGCACAAUUAACAAAAUGUGAAUAGGUGUGUAAAGUACACCAUGAAUUUCAUUAGCAUUCACACUACUCCAUGAAACUUCUCUUUGAUACCAAAUCCAUUCUGUCAAAACAAAUGUUCUGUUAAUAAAGCUGAUAUUUGUUUCAAAUGUAAUUAUAAAAAAGAAGAUGUGGUAUGAUUGCCAAUGAGACAACUGUCCACAAAAGACCAAAAUGACACAGAAAUUAACAACUAUAGGUCAUCGUACGGCCCUCAACAAUGAGCAAAGCCCAUACCGCAUAGUCAGCUAUAAAAGGCCCCGAAAUGACAAUGUAAAAAAAUUCAAACGAGAAAACUUAUGGCCUUAUUUAUGUAUAUACACAUUUGAGAAAUAAAUGACAAGCCUGAUAGUAAUUAGAACAGCAGACUAGAGACUUGUUUUGAUGAAAUGAAAUUUAAUUCUUACAGUGUAAUCACAUUUGAAAUAACAAAGAUAGUUUUAAAAAGUUCAAAUAAUUUAUUCAAAUGUUAAUGCUGUGUAUUUUUACCAAGAAAGUACUGCAAUUUUAAUUUAGAAUAGAACAGUUACAAAUAUACAUAAUUAAAAAAAUACAUAACUAAGUCAUACUGAAUAGUUUGUAAGCUGGACUGAUUGCUUGUUGCAUGCUGUUAUUCGUGAUAUAGAAUUGCAAGUUUCUGAUUUUCUCCAACAGGAAGAUAGAAGUAGUAAAACCCCCUUGAUGUUGGUCAUCGAUACCUGUGAUCUGAGUCUGGUCAAAGUUUUCAUCAAUUGUGACACAGAGAAAAACCCAGAAACAAUUAGAUCAAAGAUGAAUGCUACAACACGGUCAGGUGACACAGCUUUACAUUUCGCUGCUGGUGCUAAUUUCGAACGCAAGAAGAAGUGUAAUUUGUUACGGCUUCUUGUCAACAGUGGUGCAGAUAGUAGUAUUGAGAACAAUGAAAAAGAAAAACCAGAAAGCAUUACCACUAAAGAUCUGGUAUGAUUUAAUUCAUUAAAGGAUCAUAUCUUUACAUGUGAUUUAUCAUCUAUCUGCAAUCUAGAAAUAUAUUGAAGGAAACAAACUACAGAGUUCUAAUUAAAUGAAUUUCUUAUGGUCUGUACAAUUAUUUCUAUUGCAAAAUAUCAUGAUUGUGUUGAUCCUUUGCCACAUGUUAGAAGUCAAAACGUUCGGACCACCUCCUGACAAUAAACUCUGACAAAUAUAUACUUUCAGUACAGUUAAUUAAAAAAAAAAAUGUUACAAAUCAUUCAUUAUUUUGUUUAUUUAAAGAUACUGUAAAUUCAGAAAUUAUUGCGUGCAUUUAUUAUUAAAAUGUGAUUUUAUAUUUUGUGAUAUUGAGAAAAAACUUGUUUAAUUCAGAUGUAAAAUGUUCAAAUUUCGAGUUUAAAUUAUUGUGAUUAUAACCCUGUCACAUUUUCGCAAUAAUUCAAACAUUGCAAUAAUUUGUGUAUUUACAGUAGUACAUAUACAAUUCACAACUAUAAAUACACGUACAGCUUCACAACUAUAAAUACACGUACAGCUUCACUAUUAUAAAUACACGUACAGCUUCACUAUUAUAAUCUUUGUUUUGUCAUACAUUGUUUGUUCAUUUACAUGUCAAUCCAUUUUAGUAGUAAUGAUAUAAGUAUGCUAUAAAACUGACAAUCUACAUGUACACAAUUUUACAAAUAGAUCACGCAUUAAUGUCAUUUACUGCAGUUAAGUUUUAUAAUAUCCUAUUUCAAACAAACUCCUUUUUGAAGAUGAAUUAACUCUGGCUGAAUAGAUUUCAAGUAUAGUUAAAAUGAUUCUUGAUUUCUCUUAAUUCGAGACCUGAAGAAUAUAUAUAUAUUAUUUACUUGAUGUGUAUCUUUACUUUCAGUGGAAAGAAGCUUUUAAAUGUUAAACAAAGGAACAAACAUGGAGACAGAACCAGACUACCAUACUUACUAACUAUGUUACUGAGAUCAAAAUAGAUUGUUAUUUGUUACAUUUUGUAUUUCUGUGACGAUUCUUUGUUUUUUCACUGCGUACCAAUUUUCCAAGAUUUUUUGUGUACAAGUAAACCACAGAUUUCAAUGUUGAAUGAAAUUUCAAAUUUAUAAAGGCUUGGAUUUAGACUAGUACAACUUUUCGUCAAUCUAGGAAAAUUGUUUCCAAUGAAAUAUUAAACAAUGAAUCAACAUCAUUGUUAAAAGUACUUAAUUUUUGUACAGUUAUUUGUUUGCUGAUUUUGUACAGUUUUUUGUUUGCUGAUUUUGUACAGUUAUUUGUUUCCUGUUUUGUUAGUGUUUUGUACAGUAUAAAAGUUAGAUGAUAGUCUGUGAUAGUUAUUCUUGUUACAUUAUUCUGUUUGCAAUAACCAUUAAUUUUCAUUAAGUGUUAUUUCUGAAUUUUAAAAUAGACAUCAGCGAUUUUAUAACUCUAGAUAAUCUUUCUGAAUACUUGAAUAUAAUUUUUGAGAGGCUUUAAAGUUAAUAUGUGAAAUUUUUGUGAAUCACUAAUUAAAGAAGGAAAAUAAACACUCCAAUAUAUCAAUAUAGUCCUCUACAGAUUUUAACCAAAAUUUAAAGAACUCUACUUCACUUCUUUGCAGGAAUUAUUUAGGGUUUGACCUGUUUAUUUCGUAAAGAAUUAAUUAAUUAAGCAACUUUUGAUAUUGGCAUAAAGUUAAAUUAGCUACAGUAUGUUGUAAAUAUUUUCAAGCCUAACAAAUAAUAUCUGAAAUGCAUUACAAAUCAAACAUUCAUACAAAACAUUUAAAUAUAAGUUAUUAUGAAAUAAAUUUGCUCAAACAUGACAUUAGCAUUCCAAAAACCAUAGCACCAUUCUGUAUAUAAUAAAAUCAAAACAUUACAUAAUUUGCAUGCAUUUUUAUCAUUAAUAUAAUUUUUAUGUGUUAUAUGUCUUCGGCUUACAAAUGGUUACUGUAAAUAUUUAUUUUUUGAAAAAAGAAAUAUAUAUAUUUUGCAAAGUGAUUUGUUAGCAAGUGUAUUUGUAUUGACUCUUUAAAGCAUUUAAAGGAAAUAAUGCCAUUAAUGAUGCCUUGUUUUUGAACUGAAACUUUCUGUUUUAAUUUGACCAGUUGAGCAAAACACGCAUCUGUACAGGUGGAUGUCCGAUUUGGAAGACCUUUUUUUAUGACAGAAGAACGUAAUGAAUAUUAUAAAGUUCACAUAGGAUUGCUAUAUGGCCCUGAAAAAGAAUAAAAAACGGCAAUAACAGCAUUAUUUUUGCAUUAACAAAAUUGAAGUCAUCUUACUGAUGAUGUACAAUAACACUUUUAAAAAAAUGUUUUUGACUUAAUAUGAUGUAUAAUGUCAUAAAUUGUGUACUAUCACUAGAUAAAAAUGUAAUUUCUGACCAACUUUUGUUGAUUUGUUGAUUUUGGAAACAUUGGCUACAUGCUCUGACCAAUAUCGUAUGUAUGUUACUUUUAUAAAACUUUUGAUCUCACGUUUAUUUUGGUCAGAAAGUGUGUUGCCAGUAUUUCCUUAAGUAUAUAAUGUUAAAAUUGGUAAAAAGGACAUGCUUUUCAUAAAAUCUUAUAAUUGAUGUAGUCUUGGAAGAACCUAUCUUGAUUUAUGAAAAUAAAGGCUAAACAAGGUAUUAAUGAACUGUAAUAAGGUCUGAUUUCAGGUUAUAGGUACUUAAUUUGUGAUCUCAUGGACUAUAAUGAAAUUUUGCUUGUAACCAGAGCAUGAGGAACUAACUACAUGUUUAUCAUUUUUUUUUUAUAUAUAUGUCACUUUUAUGAAAUAUGGCAAAUUUUAAAGAUUAAAAGCACAAAUGUAAAGAAAAUAAGUAAUUAUUGUAAACAAUUCACUCAAUUUAUAGUAAAAAUAUUUGUUUGGGUGAUAUUUAAAUGCAUCUUAUGCGUUUGUACUACUAUUUAAAGAAAUUAGAAAAUAUCUUCAAAAAUAUAAAAAAAUACUUGAAUAUUUUCUUUGAUAUCAAUAUGCAGUUACACAUCCUCUAGCGAUAUUGCCCAUUAACGUACCUGUUUUAGUAUACAAUUUAAGUAAGCAAUACAAAUUUAUAAAUGUCACUUUAUAUAAAUUGUAUAUAUCUUUUUAUUGACAAAAAUUGUAUGUUUGUGCAAUUAUCAAAAAGACAAAUUUAUGAAUUUAUAAACUUUUGUGAUGAAUUUUUUGUUGUGCUUGAAUAACAUUUAUGUAAUAAUUAUUUAUCUAUUAUACAUUUUAUAUAUUUAUCUUUCCUGUUGAUAUAUUUUUGAGAAAUGAGGAAAGUAUGUUACAAUAGUUUGUGCUAUGUUAUUGCUGUUACACCAAGGUUAGAGGGUGUUUUGACUGCUCACAAAUGAUAAACCCUGAUACAUUGUGAAGGCAGAAUUGAGAAUGACUAUAGUCUAAGUGGUUGUUGUUAGUUGAUGUCUUGUCAUAAUAUUUUUCAUAUACAUAUAAUAUUGUUAGCCUAUUUGUGCCAUUAGUUUUAUUGAUUGUAUUGUUUCAUGUUUUGAUAUAGAGGGCCUUUAUUGGUUACUUAUCAGUAUUGGUUAGCUUAUGUUGAAGAUUCUGUUUAGCCAAAAAACCAGUGUGUUUGUGCAGUUAUGUACUAUAUGAAAUUUUAAUAUUAAUUUCUUAACUUUAAAUUGUACAGUGACCUCCAUUUUUUUUGUAUACUUUUCAUUGGUCUUUUGGCAAAAAAAACACAUCUCCAUACUGUUUACAGUUUACUCCUAGACCAGGUGCAGAUGAUACAUGUCUAGAGUAUAUACUAGCACUUGACUUAAAAUGUAUAUAGAAAGUGAUUCAGUUUUAUUGUUCACUGUAUUGCAUACUGAAUGGGGAUGUAAUGAAAUAAAUAAAAACCAAAUAAACAAUGAAUUAUCCAACCAUUGAUAAAGGUUUGAGGCUUUGAGCUAUUAAAAUUUUCUACCUACGAUCUCAAGGUAUUCUGCAGGAAAGUAUUUUUGUAUAUUAAGAAAACAUUAAUUAAUUUUAAUCUUUCAUAAUAGAUAAAGACAAUGCUAUACCUUGCAUACUAAUAGUCACUUUUUUAUCUUGCCUUUUUAUCAUAUUCAUAGUUUAAGGUUGUAUAUUUUAUUGUUCUCACAUUGUUACUGCUAAUAAGUUUAAAGACAUGUUAGGAUUAACAUCUCUGUAAAUAAUAGAGCCUGAAAAGAGAAAACGAUAGACCAUUAAAUCAACUGAGAGAGUAAUAGUCGCACGGGGGGGGGGUCUCUUCCUAUUAUAAGGUAUAUCGCUAUUAUGUGCCAUUCCGGAAUGGGUUCUAAAAUUACGUCAACUUUUUCAUCCAGUUGCAAGUUUAUCUGGGACCCUGUUCAACAAUUUACCGAUGCAUGAUAUUUUUAAUGAGACCUGGUUAAAUACCGUAAAUAUUUCAAUGGGUCAAAAUCAGUUUGUUUGCAACGAUCUUCAACUGAAUUUCCAAAAAUAUGAUCAUGGGUUAUGAUUUCGCUGCUGUGAAAUAUAUGUAUAAAGGUUUAGGAUUUCACAAUUAUUCAAUAUAUGAAUGGGGGGUGUUUUUAAAAUCCCAGCUGCACACCUGUACCCAAAAUCCCAUGUUGAGACCCCCCGUGAAUAGUCGUAUCAACAUUUAUACCAACCAAUAUGUUUGAUAAGCCAGAAAUGAUGAAAUGGCUCAAUCAAAAUAUUGUUUCUAACAUUAUAUUAAAAUUGAAUAGUUAUCAAUGAUUUUUGUAUUAUUAUUUUCUUAUUAUUAUUCAUUUAUAAUUGUAAAUACUUUUAUAAAAUGUAUUUCAAUUCAGAUAACAUACUUAAGUGUGUAAGAAGAGGGAUAAAGUUUGGUUGUUUGUUCAGUGGACCAUGAAAUGAUUUUGACUUUUUAUAAUUUUGUAUAAGAAGCAACAGGAGAAGUGACAUAUAUAUAAAUUAGUUAAACUUAAACAUAGUAUUUCAUUUUCAUAUAUCAGACUUGGAUUUGGAUUCUAUAAUUUCUUUAUGAGUUAUUUCCCCUAGGGUAAGACAUUGUUGUUCUAGUACUAUGUUUUAUUUAGAUGUAAAUCUUGUAAUUUCACUUGAACUCCUUUUUUGUUUGGUUACUUAGGGAAAAUAUCAAAGUAAGGAGGUAUAUAUGUAAUUUGUAAUUUGUUCAAAAAGUUUAAGUUGGAUUAUCUCCCAUUUACAAAACCAAAAGUCAACUAAAAAGUUAUUAACAUGUAAAGUAGCAAAUGCAUUAUAAACAUGUACUUGCAAAAUACACCAGGAGUUGGUUUCACCUAAAAACUUACAGUUAAGGCUGAUCUUUAGUCAUGGACAAUUCAGUAUACUUAUGGUUAAUCUUAUUCGUAAGUUUUUUUGUGAAACUGACACCAGAUCCUUAAAAGUAUAUGUUUUGUUGCUUGUAUGUUUUUUUCUUAUAGGUAAUGGAAAAUGUUUUGCACUGAGUUAUCUCCACUUUACUAGGAAAAUCUUAAGCUAAAAAUAACUAAACUGUAAAUCUGUUUUAUUCCUCUUGCAUCUGCAAAUAUGGAUGUCUGAUAAGUCAAAUAAGUAAUUAUAUUAAGUAUCAUGUCACUUCUCUAAACUUAUCAGAGAGAAAAACAAUACAUGUAGUUAUAACUAGCCAAUCAAAUUAUCAAACAGGUAAAGAAGGAUAUCUGAGCUAUCUCUCUUACAAGUCUAUAUUGAAAUUGGGAUCAUGGUUCAUUGAACUAUCUAAUGAAGCGUACUCACUAACGAAGUUCCAUUGUAAAUCAAAAAGAUGUUUUUUGCAUGCAAAAAAAUGAAAACAACACUAUGAAUUUAUUUCAUCCAAAGUGCUUUUCUGGAAACAUUUUGCCAUCAGUUUUCUCUACUGCAAGAAAAAGGGAAAAGUUGAAUUGUAAUCAUAAUUGUUUUUGUCACAAAACCAAGUAAACAACUUCAUUAUAGUUCUUCAUUGUAUAUUUUUACUUACAUCAAAUUGUGUUAAAUACAUGAAAUAGUUUUUCACCAAAUACUGAUAAAUGGUCAGAAAGUUAUUUAGUUAGAAUGUAUAUUCUCUAAAAUGUUCAGUUGUACAUGCAGAUAUUCCUGCUCACUAAGAGUUUAAGUGAGGGAGAUAAUAAAUAAAAACCCAUCAUAUGCAACCGCAUGGUUUUGAGGGAUAUAUAGGUUAAUGAUUAUAUUAUGAUCUAAAGAAAGGAAAAGCAGAGUCAAAUUUUAGUUAUCUGUAAUCUUACCUUUCAGCAGGUAUUUUGAAUUGUAUUUUAAUUUUUAAUGAUUUCUGAAUAUUUUCAAGUAAUGUUGAAUAUUCUUCAUACUUAAUAUAUAACAUUGAAAUUCUCUAAAUUUGUUAAGAACUUAAGAUACAGAUCACAUUCUCUUGGAAACACUUUUGGACAAAAUAUUUUGUAUAUUUAUAAAUAAAAAUAUGUAUACAAUAUUGUGUUAGUAAUAUAUAAAUAGGAAAAUGUUUUUAACAUUUGCAUAUCAAUUAGAAUUCAAAGGCCCAAUGGAUACAAGGUUGAACACCCUCAACUCUGUUUCUAAAUGACUAGGAGUCACAGUUUUUGUAGACUAAAUGUUGGGGUUUCUUUCUGGGCACCAUCAAUAAAACUGGUCUCCAUGAUGCAUGCUGUACAACCUUUUGUGGUAGCUGCAGCAAAGAUAAAGUUCGAAGUUACUAAAUUUAGACCAUAAUAUAUACAGGAAAGUGAUAUCAGGAUGCCCAAUAAAAAAUCCUGUAUUAUAUUGCAAUCUUACUCUGACACAUGUUUUAUUAUAGCAGGAAAAUCGCUUUUUAAGGUAGCAGAAUGCAAAGAUUUUUUUUACUUCCAAUCUCCAACCUUUAAACUGCUGUUACUUUUUUAAAACUGCAUAUAAAUUAAUAAAAGAGG
rnacentral:lncRNA from 1 species